rnacentral:rRNA from 1 species
GGAAGUAAAAGUCGUAACAAGGGUUCCGUAGGUGAACCUGCGGAAGGAUCAUUAUUGAAUUAUGUUUCUAAAUGGGUUGUAGCUGGCUCUUUAGAGCAUGUGCACGCCUGUUUGGAAUUCAUUUCAUCCACCUGUGCACCUUUUGUAGUCUUUGAAUGGGUAUCGAGGAAGUGGUCAGCCUGUCAGUGUUUGCUGGAUGUGAGGACUUGCAGUGUGAAAGCUCUGCUGUCCUUUAUUUGACCACAGAGUCGUGUUCUCACCAAAGUCUAUGUUAUUCAUUAUACCCUAUUGAAUGUUAUUGAAUGUUUUACAUGGGCUAUAUGCCUAUUAAAUUGUAAUACAACUUUCAGCAACGGAUCUCUUGGCUCUCGCAUCGAUGAAGAACGCAGCGAAAUGCGAUAAGUAAUGUGAAUUGCAGAAUUCAGUGAAUCAUCGAAUCUUUGAACACAUCUUGCGCUCCUUGGUAUUCCGAGGAGCAUGCCUGUUUGAGUGUCAUUAAAUUCUCAACUCUCUUAUACUGUUUUGUGAAGGAGAGCUUGGAUUGUGGAGGUUUGCUGGCCACUUACUUGAGGUCAGCUCCUCUGAAAUGCAUUAGCGGAACCGUUUGCGAUCUGCCACAAGUGUGAUAAACUAUCUACACUAGCCGGGGGAUUGCUCUGUGUUGUUCAGCUACUAAUUGUCUCUAUUUUGAGACUACUUAUGAAUGCUUGACCUCAAAUCAGGUAGGAUUACCCGCUGAACUUAAGCAUAUCAAAUAAGCGGAGAA